rnacentral:rRNA from 1 species
AGAGCGCAGGGUGGAUGCCUUGGCACUGAGAGCCGAAGAAAGACGUGAUAAGCUGCGAUAAGCUGCGGCAAGAAGCAAAUAUUCAAUGAACCGCAGAUUUCUGAAUGGGGAAACCUGGCUGAGCAAACCUCAGUCGUCCUAUACUGAAUACAUAGGUAUAGGUCGGGAACCUCCUGAACUGAAACAUCUAAGUAGGGAGAGGAAGAGAAAGAAACAUCGAUUCUGUUAGUAGCGGCGAGCGAAAGCGGAAGAGCCCAAACCGGAGUGCGUGCACUCCGGGGUAUGGACUGCGACAUGGCAGUGCAAUUGAUAGCAGAAGGGUCUGGGAAGUCCCGCCAAAGAGAGUGAAAGCCUCGUAUGCGAAAUCAAGAACACGCCUAGCAGAAUCCGGAGUACCACGAGACACGAGAAACCUUGUGGGAAGACGGAGGGACCACCCUCCAAGGCUAAAUACUACUCAGUGACCGAUAGCGCAUAGUACUGUGAAGGAAAGGUGAAAAGGACCCCGGGAGGGGAGUGAAAGAGAACCUGAAACCCUGUGUUUACAAGCUGUGGAACUACGUUAAGGUAGGACCGCGUACUUUUUGUAGAACGGUCCGGCGAGUUUCUUGUACCGGCAAGGUUAAGCACUUAAGGUGCGGAGCCGAAGUGAAAGCAAGUGUUAAGAGCACGUAAAGUCAGUACAAGAAGACCCGAAACCGGGUGAUCUACCCAUGUCCAGGUUGAAGUCGCCGUAAAAGGCGAUGGAGGACCGAACGCACAUCCGUUGAAAAGGGUGGCGAUGAGGUGUGGGUAGGGGAGAAAUUCCAAUCGAACCCGGAGAUAGCUGGUUCUCCUCGAAAUAGCUUUAGGGCUAGCCUCGUAUUAGUCUUGCGGAGGUAGAGCACUGAAUAUCCUAGGGGGCGUCAAAGCUUACCGAAGAUUAUCAAACUCCGAAUGCCGCGUAGAUGAUGUACGGGAGUCAGACUGCACGAGAUAAGUUGGGUAGUCAAAAGGGAAAGAGCCCAGACCACCAGCUAAGGUCCCAAAGUGCGUGUUAAGUGGUAAAGGAUGUGGGAUUUCGAAGACAACUAGGAUGUUGGCUCAGAAGCAGCCAUACAUUCAAAGAGUGCGUAAUAGCUCACUAGUCGAGAGGUCCUGCGCCGAAAAUGUCCGGGGCUAAAACACGACACCGAAGCUUAGGAAUGUAGAAAUACAUUGGUAGAGGAGCAUUGUUAGCGCAGCGAAGCUGUACCGAUAAGGAGCAGUGGAGUGCUAAGAAGAGAGAAUGCCGGAAUGAGUAGCGAGAGGAAGGUGAGAAUCCUUCCGGCCGAAUAUCCAAGGUUUCCAGAGUAAAGCUGAUCUGCUCUGGGUAAGUCGGGGCCUAAGGCGAGGUCGAAAGACGUAGUCGAUGGAUAACAGGUGGAGAUUCCUGUACUAUGUGUACCCAGAACUGUGGGGACGCAUGUGGAGAGCAUGAGCCGGGAAAGAGAAGACCGGUACAAGCGGGGUAGGAGUAAGGACAGCAAAUCUUCCUUACAAUCCGAAGACGUAAUGUGGACCGAACCAAAGUAGGGAAGCGUGUGAGCCAUGUGCCAAGAAAAGCCGCUAUUGUGAUACACAUACCCGUACCGUAAACCGACACAGGUGGAUGAGGAGAGAAUCCUAAGGCCGACGGAAGAAGCAUUGUUAAGGAACUCGGCAAAAUGACCCCGUAACUUCGGGAGAAGGGGUGCCCUGUGAAAGCAGGGCCGCAGAGAAUAGGCUCAAGCAACUGUUUAGCAAAAACACAGGUCUAUGCGAAACCGAAAGGUGAGGUAUAUGGGCUGACGCCUGCCCGGUGCUGGAAGGUUAAGAGGAGAAGUCAGGCAACGAAGCUUCGAAUUUAAGCCCCAGUAAACGGCGGCCGUAACUAUAACGGUCCUAAGGUAGCGAAAUUCCUUGUCGGGUAAGUUCCGACCCGCACGAAAGGCGUAAUGAUUUGAGCACUGUCUCGACAAUGCAUCCGGUGAAAUUGAAGUACCAGUGAAGAUGCUGGUUACCUGCGCCAGGACGGAAAGACCCCAUGGAGCUUUACUCCAGCUUGAUACUGGGAUUCGAUACUGUAUGUACAGGAUAGGUGGGAGACGUUGAGCAUAGAACGCCAGUUUUAUGUGAGUCGCUGUUGGGAUACCACCCUUGCAGUAUUGGAUUUCUAACCUGCA